UACGAAGGGUGCAAGCGUUAAUCGGAAUUACUGGGCGUAAAGCGCGCGUAGGUGGUUUGUUAAGUUGGAUGUGAAAGCCCCGGGCUCAACCUGGGAACUGCAUCCAAAACUGGCAAGCUAGAGUAUGGCAGAGGGGGAUGGAAUUCCGCGUGUAGCAGUGAAAUGCGUAGAUAUGCGGAGGAACACCAGUGGCGAAGGCGACCACCUGGACUGAUACUGACACUGAGGUGCGAAAGCGUGGGGAGCAAACAGG
rnacentral:rRNA from 1 species